GGGUGGAUCAUGGUAGGGAGUUUUACCUGUGUCUUUACAUGCAAGAGACGCUGUCAAGAUACAGACAAAACCUCAGCAGGACACCAUACCUCCAAUCCACAUCAACAAGGAACCUGCGAGUUGAGAGGUUGUGGCCAGAGGUGAACAACCGUGUGAACUAUCCACUGAAACGGGCUCUGGUGCACCUGCUGAUUCUGCAUCUCAAAUCUGACAUGUCAAGUCAGCCAAAUUGGACUUGACAGAGUGGUGCGUUCAUGGAAUGCACACAAGAUCCCAGGUCGUGGAAUACCCAAUGAACUGGCAGCAGGUGGCUGCCUAGCGUAAGUCUCAGAGGAGCUGCUGCCAUGUGCCUCUGUUGUGGCAAACUGGUACGAGCAAGACUUGGGAUCCUCACUGACCUGGGAGUCUGCUUUUGGAGCAGAUCCAUUUUCGUCUGAAGAGGGCAGAUGCCAUGCAGAGCAGAGCUUUGCUGAGAACUACCCUGACAUCUCUCUUCUUUUUAAUCAUGUUGUAAACAACAACGAUACUCCAUUCCAAGAUGCUUUAAUCUGCCUAAUGAAUGUGACUGCAAGAUAUGUCUGAAAAAAUAAACUGUUUUAGUUGUGCUUU